UAUAAACAACCAACUUUUUAUGUUCUUUUUUAUUUUUUAGCUUAAUCUGAAAAUUUCAGACUCUUUCAAUGAUUUAUUAUUUUAUUUUGUGGUUAUCUAGAGUUGAUUAAUUAAUAGAGGUCAGGUUACACAAAGAAUGAAGAUCCCAUAGAUGAGUUUUAAAUCAAAAGAUGAUAUUAGUAUUACCCAUAUCCUAAAUAGAG
rnacentral:lncRNA from 1 species